rnacentral:lncRNA from 1 species
AAAAAAUGAAUCAAUUGAAUACACAAUGUAAUUGCGAAUUGAAAAAUCUAUUUCAACAAUGGUAGUGAGCGUAUAUGCGUGCGAUUACACACUCUGACACGUCGAUGAUUGUACUGCCAAAAAAUCUCCAGUAUGAUAAAUCACGUUUAAUAUUGAUAUCAUCUUUAAGAUCAAGUUUUUAACUUUAAAAUGCCUUGUCUAAAAUUGAUCUAACUUGAGUUUACGCUUUGAGUCUUAAUAUCUUGAUAAAUAAUAACAUUAAUAUAACGAAAAUUUUACUAGAAACACUUUCAGCUAAAAGUUUAUCAAAGAACACAAAUAGGCAUUUAAAAUUUAGAAAAAAUAAACACACACACACACACACACACACAUGGCUCUGAAAGGGGGACACGACAAUCGAGAGAUGGUAUCGCGCAGGGUAAGGGGGUUCACCAAGUAGAAAAAGAUGAAGUCCCCGAACCCCUAAUCGUCACAUAUCACUAUGCGACGGAUGGGGGAUGUAUGGAAGCAAAAGAGCAGAAGAGCAAGAAGAGGCAAUGGAGAGAGCACGAGCGGAAGAAAAUUUUAAUCGAGUAGAGAAAAUAUUGACUAUAGAGCACCUGGACGCAGGGCGAAUCGAAACGCGAUGCAUAAAGAGAGACGCAGACAACUCAAGCGUCUUGGUCGUGUGGACGAAGCCUGUUAUAGGAAAAACGCAGCCGAUGAGCUCGUCGCUGUCGCAGCCGAUGCACUCUUACAAGUUGCAUCCCCCAGCUGAGAAGGCCAUCAUUGCGCAUGCCUUGAGCGGCGCGCGAGCGAAUGAUUGCCUGACGAGUAACUGUGUAGCCUCCACGCGUAGCAGAAGUUCGAAAUUCUCGGCGUGAGUUUAACAGCAGAGAGAGGGCGAGCAGUUGCCAUUUUUCUCGCAUUUCACCUUCGUGAGCUUCAUUCUACAAUAGUAAAGUGUAUACGAGAAAUCGAGGCAGAGCAUCCAAGUCACCGGAGGACAAGAAGAGCACGGAGAUCGAGCACCUACAUCCGACACACAGAGAAAGAGAGAGAGAGAGAGCACCACAAAGAGUCGUCUAAAUAAAUAACAAUUGUAUGUUAAUUUAAUUAUAUUUACGAUUAAGUAUAAAUCCGUGAGUUUUAUAAGUCGUUCUUUAAUAAUAAGAUAUCUCAAUAAUUAAACAAGGAGGUCUAUCGUCAAGUAAAUUCAAAUCAAAAUCCACCGCAUUUAAAUUUCACACUAGCACACCUGAAGUUAAAAAUAAAAUCGUAUCACGAGUUGAUAUUUUCUUAAAAUCUAUAUCAGAGGACGUAGAAUCAAUUAAAAAGGAGUUUGAAACUGAUGAAAAAGGCAUAAACGAGUCGGUUACUGACGCACUUGUGAACUGUGGUGAAGACGAAACAGUAUAAAAAUCUUUAUAUCGUUGAUGGAUCGGUAAAUCCUCUUAGAAAUUUUUUUUUCCGAGACAAAGAAUUUAAAAAUAUUGCAGCCGCGGUCCCCACUGUAAAGACUGAAGUUACUACCAACGGCAACGCGAGUAAUCACGCAAUGGAUAAUAGUGGUGAAGAACGUGAUAACGAAACUUUAAACGCAAAAAUGGCCGCUGAAGCGCAAAGUACAUUAAUUAAAGAAUUGUCAAAGGAUAACUCUAAGUUUGACGGGUCAACUGAAC